GAUCCUGGCUCAGGAUGAACGCUAGCGGAGGCCUAAUACAUGCAAGUCGAACGGUAACAGGGGUAGCAAUACCCGCUGACGAGUGGCGCACGGGUGCGUAACACGUACACAAUCUACCUUAUACUGGAGCAUAACCUUGGGAAACUGAGGCUAAUUCUCCAUAACAUAUUGAAGAGGCAUCUCUUUAAUAUUAAAACUCAGGUGGUAUAAGAUGAGUGUGCGUCUGAUUAGCUAGUUGGUGGGGUAAUGGCUCACCAAGGCAACGAUCAGUAGCUGGUCUGAGAGGAUGAUCAGCCACACGGGCACUGAGACACGGGCCCGACUCCUACGGGAGGCAGCAGUAGGGAAUAUUGGACAAUGGGCGCAAGCCUGAUCCAGCCAUCCCGCGUGAAGGAUUAAGGCCCUCUGGGUUGUAAACUUCUUUUCUUUGGGAAUAAAAACUCCGUUUCUACGGAGCUUGAAGGUACCAGAGGAAUAAGCACCGGCUAACUCCGUG
rnacentral:rRNA from 1 species